GACGAACGCUGGCGGCGUGCUUAACACAUGCAAGUCGAACGGAAAGGCCCUGCUUUUGUGGGGUGCUCGAGUGGCGAACGGGUGAGUAACACGUGUGUAACCUGCCCUUGACUUUGGGAUAACUUCAGGAAACUGGGGCUAAUACCGGAUAGGAUCUCCUGCUGCAUGGUGGGGGUUGGAAAGUUUCGGCGGUUGGGGAUGGACUCGCGGCUUAUCAGCUUGUUGGUGGGGUAGUGGCUUACCAAGGCUUUGACGGGUAGCCGGCCUGAGAGGGUGACCGGCCACAUUGGGACUGAGAUACGGACCAGACUCCUACGGGAGGCAGCAGUGGGGAAUAUUGCACAAUGGGCGGAAGCCUGAUGCAGCAACGCCGCGUGCGGGAUGACGGCCUUCGGGUUGUAAACCGCUUUCGCCUGUGACGAAGCGUGAGUGACGGUAAUGGGUAAAGAAGCACCGGCUAACUACGUG
rnacentral:rRNA from 1 species